rnacentral:lncRNA from 1 species
CAAACUAAUUUAUUCUUCAAAAUAAAACUUAGAUAACACCUCCCAGGGGGAAGUCUUUGCAGAUUUCUUUAGGGAGACCUACUUGCUCCCUCCUUUGUGCUUCUGGAGUUCUAUAUACACCCCUUGAUUUUAAAUAGAUCUUCACUUUCUUAGGAAAAGGUUUCUUUCUCAGGACAGUACUAGGCACAUAGCAAGCAUGCAAAUGAUCAUUGAAUACAUGUGGGUGACUCUCCCACUUGUGAAAUUCUGUUAACAGCUCUCAACACUCUCUGCAAAAAAAGAGGUGCUAUAACAUUUAUUGCUCCUUUAAUGCUUGCAAUUAAUAUGUGCUACCUGCCCUGUUUCAAAAUGGCAUUUUUAAUGAUUCAAUUAACAACUUAAAAAAAAACUGCCCUCCUAAUUUACUCCUUUCACAUUUACUAUUUUAAACUUUGCCUCUCACUUUAAGCCAAUCCUCUCUGGGCAAGUAUAUCAAACGCUGAACAUGGACCUAAUUAUCUAGGAGCACAGUGGUGUUCUCACUGGGGCCCCGGGUGUGAUUGCACCAGGGACCCAAAGACUAGGCAGUAGCAGGAGACCCAGAAAACGCUCCGCCUCUUCCAAGAAAUUACUAGGACAGAAUUAAAUUUCAUUCACAAAGAUAAAGCUUCCCAACACUUAUUUUUAGAAGACAAAUGGAGAAGGGAAAUCUUUAUUUUCCAGGAUGUUGGAAGUAAAGGAAAGCAACACUACAGGAUUCUCUUCUACAAGUUCUACUCAUGCCUAAAAGAUAAAAAAGCAGAAGAAAGGGUGGGGAAAAAAACUGUAACUACAAUGUAUACAUCUAAGGAUAACCUGACCCCCUUGCUGUACAGUGGGAAAAUAAAAAAAUAAAUAAAUAAAUAAAUAAAAUAAAAUUAGUAGGGGAGUUUCCCUUGUGGCUCAGCCAUAACGAACCCAACCAGUAUCCAUGAGGACGUGAGUUUGAUCCCUGGCCUCGCUCUGUGGAUUAAGGAUCCAGCAUUGCUGUGAGCUGUGGUAUACGUUGCUGAGGUUGCUCAGAUCUGACAUUGCUAUGGCUGUGGCAUCUGCUGGCAGUUGCAGCUCUGACUUGACCCUAACUUGGGAACUUCCAUAUGACACAGGGGCGGCCCUAAAAAGACAAAAAUUUUAAAAAAGUUUAAAUAAAUAAAAUUAGUAGAGAGUUCCUAUUGUGGCUCAGGGGGUUAAGAAGCCAAUAGUGUCUCUCUGAGGCCUCGGGUUUGAUCACUGGCCUCACUCAGUGUGUUAAGGAUCCAAUGUUGCCAGCUACAGCAUAGGUUGCAGAUGUGGCUCUGAUCCUGUGUUGCCUUUGCUGCAGUCUAGGCUGGCAGCUGCAGCUCUGAUUCAACCCCUAGCCUGGGAACUUCCAUAUGCCACAGGUGCAGUCAUAAAAAGGAAAAAAUAAAAAAUAAAUAAAACUAGUAGAAAUGUAUGGGGAGCCUACAGUUGGAUGAGACCUUCAAGGAGUUUACAAUCAGUGAGGAAAAUCAGCAUAAUAACUAACUCAAAGAUGAGAGGGUGACAAAUACUAUACAUAAAUGAAGAAAGAAUCCAGAGAAAGACAAUUUAAUUUUGACUAUUAAGGAAGGCGUCUUAGAAAAAGUAGUGCUUUUAGCACUUACAGAGGAGAAGAAUUUAUGUAAGUGGUACCGUAAACAUAGACCCAAGGCACAACAUAACAUUUUCAGUAAUAGUAAGUAUUCUUGUGCAAUUUCAACUAAAGUGACAAUGAAUAUAUGUGGGCUUUUUUUUUUUUUAAGUUAAUUCUUCAAGGAUCUUUGGAAGUCAAAUCCUUGAGAGCUGAGAACUUAAAAAGAGAAGUUUACACAUUUUUUUCCCUGAAAGAGUUAACCGACUUUGAACAAACCUAAUAACUAUUAACAGAGAAAUCAACGGUGGUACAUAGACUAUAUUUCGAUUGUUCCCUUUUUUGAAAUAUAUUCCCACUAUAACACCGCUAUGGUUUUCCAGAAUGCUAAAAGGAAUAUCAAAAGAUAAAUAUGAUCCAUUGGGGAAAUCCAGUUAAAAUUGGGAGAGAAAACAGAAUGCUAAAAGGAAUAUCAAAAGAUAAAUAUGAGCCAGUGGGGAAAUCCAGUUAAAAUUGGGAGAGAUUAAGUAUCCUAAAAUCUUAAAUGGCGUCCUUAGUGGGUUGUUCUUUUUUUUUUUCUGAUGGAAUUUUAAUUAUAGUUAAGAUGCAAAUUCCUUUUAAUUUGAAGAUGAGGUAAGGGGGAAAUUCUGUUUAGUUAUGCAUAUUUUUAGUUGGCUUCAAGUUAUCAGUCCUUGUGGAAAGGCAACUUUCAAAAUUAGAACUUUGGAAAACUCUAUUCCUCAAUAUACUUUUCCACUUCAAUCUUUUUUUUUAAUUGUUAUUUCCCCAAUAAAUUUUUUUUCUACUGUAUAGCAUGGUGACCCAGUUACACAUACAUGUACAUUCUAUUUUCUCACAUUAUCAUGCUUCAUCAAAAGUGACUAGACAUAGUUCCCAGAGCUAUACAGCAGGACCUCAUUGCUAAUCCAUUCCAAAGGCAAGAGUUUAAAGAAAACAACAUCAGUAUCUCUCAUCAUUUAAAGAAGGUUCAUUACAAACCAAAUAAUUCAUGAGCUAAGACCCAUCCAUGAGGAAUAAUUUUCAUUAAUUGUACUAAAUAGAUAAAUUCUAUAGGAUUCAAAGAUGAAAUCCUUAUUGUGUUAAUAUGGAGAUCUUUUCCAGUGUUUUGAAAUGUAGAAUUUCAUUAGGGAGUGCUGACAAUUCCAUUUUGCAACGUUCUUUCCAACAGAUUAAACAUUAAUAUUUUCAAAAGUAGUUGUAUGGCUUGGAGGUAACCAGCAGCCUUCUACAAGCAAUCUGGAAGCAUUGUUGUUCCUUAACUGGAAGACGAUGUUACUUCCUAGACUCUGGGAUCUCCUCUGGAGUUGAAAAAACUCUAGCAAAGCAUGUCAAGCAAAUUCUUCCAUUAACACUCCAGGAAUAAACUUUUGGCUUUUCUAACCACCACUAGAAAACAUUCAGAGAUUAUCCUGCAGGUCACUAGGCAACACAGGACAUACUCUGAACCUGGGUUGAUUUCUGACUCAACUGUACAACUCUUCCUGAAUUUUGCCCUCCAGUAGCAUAGCCAUUAUUUGAAUAGCAUUUACACCUGCUCAGUUAUGAGAUCCUGUUUGAUCACAAAAGUGUUAGAGUGGCAGUAUGAGCAGUGUAGCACAGUGAAAAUAAUUUGGCUUUGGAACCAAGCAGAUCAAACCCUGACACUAUUGGUUUUCUGACUUUGGGCAAGACUAUGACCACUGAUCCUCUGUUUACUCAUCUCAAAAAUGGGAACAAAUGAUAGAGUUUACUACAAUUAAAUUAGAUAAUGCCUGCAAAUAAUUACAUGAAAAUUAACAAUAAUUAUUGUGACAUUAUUCCUAGGUUAUAAGAACAAUCUCCACUGGAUGAUAACCUACCGGAUCAUCCUAAAGUGUGUGAAUAAAUACAAGUCAACACAUCUGAUAUGUAGGGAGGAGAAAAAAGGACCUAGAAAUUCCAUUUAUCCAGCUUCUAUCUGUUUAAUGAAUGAAUAAAUUUCUUUUUUGGUUGACUAAAUCCAAUGUCAAGAGAAAUCUAAAGCACAUGUAACAUACACAUGUAUGUGUAUAAAAUCUUAACUUCAAUUAAAAGUAAUUUAUUAAAUGAAUCUCCAUUAGGUUGGAUAUAUGUCCCAAUGCCUAGUAUUAACAUAUUCAAUUAGUAUAAAUAAACAUUUGCCAAUCAAUAAGGGUAGAUCAGUUUCCUUAUUUCCUACUUGGAAAAUAUUGUUUAUCAAGACGUAGAACAAGGUUUCUUCUAGUAAAAUAGCAUAAAAUGUGGUUUUGUGUAUCCAGAAAUGCUUUAAGGACUCAGAAAUAGAUGAAUUGAUAACCCAGGAUUUUUAAAACUUAACUUGUAGACUGGUUUUACUUUGAAGAGAAGCAGGAAACUGAUCACACUCUGGAGAAUUAAACAUUACUUGACAAAGCAACUUAAGUUCUGGCAGGUACUGAGAUUUCAAUUUCACCUUCUCUCAUGUUCUCAGAAGAACUCCGAGUUAACCCAAGCUGAAAAUAAAAUUCCAAUUCCAAUCUGUCAUAUUUUUAUUAUAGUUCAACUUAAUGGGUAUCAUGGAGCUUUAGGAAGGUAGCUGAUGAGAAUCCUUGAAGAUAUAUAAUUUAGAGAUGGCAUGUGGAAGUAAAUAAAGACCUUUGAGAGACUGACUUAAUGAAAUGUAGUAGUUGUAGGACUGUCAUUUAGGUGAAAUAAGGUUUAAAAGACAGUUUCCUCCACCUUGAACAGAAAGUCCUUACUCAGCCUCAAGCUUAAAAGGUAAUGGGAAACCUUUCAAAAUUCCAUGGUAAAGACAAUGGAAAGUGAUUUUUUUUCAAGAUAAAAUUUAUAACAUGGCAUAAACUUCUGAAGAAGUGUGGAAGCCAGGCUCUAGUGCUUUAAUGGCCAAUCAGCUGUCCGUUUUCUCCUCAUCUGCCUAUCCUCCUUGUUUCCUCUCCUGGUAAGAAGGGGGUGAGAAGGUAGGAAAUGGCAAGAAGGGUAGAAUUAAAUACAAUCUUCAUGAUUGAUCAUCUCCUCAUUGGCCUCCUUCAGCUCCAUUAAGACAUAGGGAAAGGAGAAAGAAAUAGACUGAAUGUUUAAGGUUAUUUGUCUUGUUCAAAUUCAGGAGGAUGUCUCGAUAUCACUAUAUGUAAAGUUUUAAUUUGUUUCUAGAUUUUCAGAAGGGAAAGGGCCUCAGCGAUACCUAGUCCUCAGUAAUAAUGGUCCCAUAUAUGAGUAUAAAUACGAUUAGUGGUAAGGAAUGCACCAUCUUAGGAGUCAGCCCAGG